UACAGAGGUCUCAACCGUUGUUCGGAUUCAUUGGGCGUAAAGGGUGCGUAGGCGGCGGGGUAAGUCAGGUGUGAAAUUUCGGGGCUCAACCCCGAAACUGCACUUGAUACUGCCUCGCUUGAGUACUGGAGAGGAGACUGGAAUUUACGGUGUAGCAGUGAAAUGCGUAGAUAUCGUAAGGAAGACCAGUGGCGAAGGCGAGUCUCUGGACAGUUACUGACGCUGAGGCACGAAGGCCAGGGGAGCAAACGGG
rnacentral:rRNA from 1 species